UCAAGCGAUCAAACGGUCCAUAUUUUAGUCAAAUAAACGGUGCAAACAAUAGCUGUAUCCCUUUCCCCAAAAUUCAGGAUCACGUGAAGUCCACUUCCCCAAAAGGUCAUCGACCUUUCCCAUCCAUCUUUCCCAAAACACACAAAAAAAAAAUCAAACGACCUUCUCUUUCUCCUCCUUCAUUUUCUCCAUCACCCCCAAAAUACAAACCCUAAUCGACAUAGCUUGCGGCCAUGGCAGACGUAGCUUCCACACCUGCCAAAAUCUCUCCUCUUUCUAAAUGUCCAGCCAUUGAAUUCCCGAGAAUCAGAAAAAACAGGUUCCAAUUUGGUGCAACAAUUCAAAAUAAGUUUCAAAUCCGAGUUUUGAAGUCCGAAAAUCACCAAAAGAGAAGUCAAAAGGCUGUGAAAUUGGGAUUUCGAAUGGGGAUUUUCUCCAUAUGGAGUUUCACCCGUUGGAACUCUUCUCUUGUGUUUAAAUCUGGACUUUCACGUCUGGAUUUCGGGUAUAAAUACCGGUGAGGAGGAGUGCAAAAUUCAGUUUUUGGAGAGUUUGGAAAAACAAGAAAGAUAAAGAAGAAAAUUCGAAUAGAGCUUUUUUUUAGGGUGGAAAGUCGGAGAAAGGGAAAACUUGAAAAAAAAAAAGUAAAGAAAGUUGGAGAUUAAAGGAAAAUCGGACUAUAUUCACAAAGGUUUGACUAGAAAAGUCACAAAACGGAUUGUUGGUUUCUUCUCUUAAUUUUGGUGUUUGAUCGAGUUUUGAAAUUUGAGUUUUGGCGGCCGGAACACUCGACAAGAAGCCCGAGUUUGCUGCACAAUACAAGCAGUGGAACUCAUCUUUGACCCAAGCAUCGCGUCAAUCGUCGCUAGGAUUGCAAGAGCCUCGGUGUCGCAAAAUUAGAAGCCCAAACUCUUAGAUGGAGUCUAGUAUCUCUUAUCUUCUCUAAAUUUAAUGUAUACUUGUCAUGUUAAAUUUUAGAAUGAUACUAACUCUUGUUAUUGAUUUUUUUAAGUUAACUUUACUUAAUUGUUACAUUUAUGGUA